rnacentral:ncRNA from 1 species
UGUAUGGGGUCAGUUUAAUCGGGAAGUUCAGUGCAUGGCUCGGCCAUAAAGCUGACGCUGCCCCCGCAACGGUAAACACCUGAGAGCUUUGCCUCUUGCUACGUACACUGUGCCACUGUCUGAACGCUGCUAUGCGGCGGAUGGGAAGGCGUGCGUGGUUCUGAUCUGUCCGUGAGUUAUGGGCGGGUCCGGUGUCAGCCCGGAGACCGGCCCGCAGAC